rnacentral:rRNA from 1 species
UACGUAGGGGCAAGCGUUGUCCGGAAUUAUUGGGCGUAAAGAGCGUGUAGGCGGUCCGGUAAGUCAGCUGUGAAAGUCAAGGGCUCAACCCUUGAAUGCCGGUUGAUACUGUCGGGCUAGAGUCCGGAAGAGGCGAGUGGAAUUCCCGGUGUAGCGGUGAAAUGCGCAGAUAUCGGGAGGAACACCAAUGGCGAAGGCAGCUCG